CUUAUUCUUUCUUCAUCGCAGCUUGCUUCUCCUCUUCUUAUCUGCUUCUACUUCUUUCGCUUUGAUAUUAUGCUUCUGCUUGUUGCGAGAGUCUUCACCGAUAUUAACUUGCUUCACCAAACACAACAUCAAUAAAGAAAAUGGCAAGGAGAAACAGAUCUGCAGAUGGAGGGAGCAACUCUGUCCAUUGGAUAUUUUUUAUGGAUGAUGUGUUAGUAUAUGCCUUUUAUGAUCAACAUGUGUUGGACCGUAGAUCUAGUGGGACAUUCACCACACAAGCUAUUGAUUACAUUGUGAUAAA